rnacentral:rRNA from 1 species
UACGUAGGGGGCAAGCGUUGUCCGGAUUUAUUGGGCGUAAAGAGCGUGUAGGCGGCCAGGUAGGUCUGCUGUGAAAACUCGAGGCUUAACCUCGAGCUGUCGGCGGAAACCAUCUGGCUAGAGUCCGGAAGAGGAGAAUGGAAUUCCCGGUGUAGCGGUGAAAUGCGCAGAUAUCGGGAAGAACACCCGUAGCGAAGGCGGUUCUCUGGGACGGUACUGACGCUGAGACGCGAAAGCGUGGGGAGCGAACAGG